UAAAAGCCAUCUUUGUAGGUUCAUUCCUGCU
rnacentral:piRNA from 1 species